UACGUAGGGCGCAAGCGUUGUCCGGAAUUAUUGGGCGUAAAGAGCUCGUAGGCGGCCAGUUGCGUCUGCUGUGAAAUCCCGGGGCUCAACCCCGGGCGUGCAGUGGAUACGGGCUGGCUAGAGGCAGGCAGGGGAGAACGGAAUUCCCGGUGUAGCGGUGAAAUGCGCAGAUAUCGGGAGGAACACCGGUGGCGAAGGCG
rnacentral:rRNA from 1 species